GACGAACGCUGGCGGCGUGCUUAACACAUGCAAGUCGAACGAAAAGAGGGAAAGAGCUUGCUCUUUCCGGAAUUGAGUGGCAAACGGGUGAGUAACACGUAAACAACCUGCCUUCAGGAUGGGGACAACAGACGGAAACGACUGCUAAUACCGAAUAAGUUCCAAGGGCCGCAUGGCCCAUGGAAGAAAAGGUGGCCUCUACCUGUAAGCUAUCGCCUGAAGAGGGGUUUGCGUCUGAUUAGCUGGUUGGAGGGGUAACGGCCCACCAAGGCGACGAUCAGUAGCCGGGCUGAGAGGAUGAACGGCCACACUGGAACUGAGACACGGUCCAGACUCCUACGGGAGGCAGCAGUGGGGAAUCUUCCGCAAUGGGCGAAAGCCUGACGGAGCAACGCCGCGUGAGUGAUGACGGCCUUCGGGUUGUAAAACUCUGUGAUCCGGGACGAAAAGGCAGAGUGCGAAGAACAAACUGCAUUGACGGUACCGGAAAAGCAAGCCACGGCUAACUACGUG
rnacentral:rRNA from 1 species